rnacentral:rRNA from 1 species
UACGAAGGGUGCAAACGUUGCUCGGAAUCAUUGGGCGUAAAGCGCACGUAGGCGGCUUGCCAAGUCGGACGUGAAAUCCCUCAGCUCAACUGAGGACGUGCAUCCGAAACUGGCGAGCUUGAGUACUGAAGAGGAUCGCGGAAUUCCCGGUGUAGAGGUGAAAUUCGUAGAUAUCGGGAGGAACACCGGUGGCGAAGGCGGCGAUCUGGGUAGAUACUGACGCUGAGGUGCGAAAGCGUGGGGAGCAAACAGG